rnacentral:rRNA from 1 species
CCUACGGGAGGCAGCAGUGGGGGAUAUUGCACAAUGGGGGGAACCCUGAUGCAGCGACGCCGCGUGGGUGAAGAAGCGCCUCGGCGCGUAAAGCCCUGUCAGCAGGGAAGAAAAUGACGGUACCUGAAGACGAAGCCCCGGCUACCUACGUGCCAGCAGCCGCGGUUAUACGUAGGGGGCAAGCGUUAUCCGGAUUUACUGGGUGUAAAGGGGGCGCAGACGGCGAUGCAAGCCAGGAGUGAAAGCCCGGGGCCCAACCCCGGGACUGCUCGUGGAACUGCGUGGCUGGAGUGCAGGAGGGGCAGGCGGAAUUCCUGGUGUAGCGGUGAAAUGCGUAGAUAUCAGGAGGAACACCGGUGGCGAAGGCGGCCUGCUGGACUGCAACUGACGUUGAGGCCCGAAAGCGUGGGGAGCAAACAGGAUUAGAUACCCCAGUAGUC